rnacentral:rRNA from 1 species
AGUACGUGGACGUAGACCCGAAACCGGGUGAUCUACCCCUGUCCAGGGUGAAGGUGCGGUAACACGCACUGGAGGCCCGAACCCACGCAUGUUGAAAAAUGCGGGGAUGAGGUGGGGGUAGCGGAGAAAUUCCAAUCGAACCCGGAGAUAGCUGGUUCUCCCCGAAAUAGCUUUAGGGCUAGCCUCGGAAUAAGAGUCGUGGAGGUAGAGCACUGAUUGGGUGCGGGGCCCGCAAGGGUUACCAAGCUCAGUCAAACUCCGAAUGCCAUAGACUUAGUUCCGGGAGUCAGACAGUGAGUGCUAAGAUCCAUUGUCGAAAGGGAAACAGCCCAGACCAUCAGCUAAGGUCCCCAAGUGUGUGUUAAGUGGGAAAGGAUGUGGAGUUGCACAGACAACCAGGAUGUUGGCUUAGAAGCAGCCACCAUUGAAAGAGUGCGUAAUAGCUCACUGGUCGAGUGACUCUGCGCCGAAAAUGUAACGGGGCUAAACACGCCACCGAAGCUAUGGCUUGAUACUUAGGUAUCAGGGGUAGGGGAGCGUUGAAUGCGGGUUGAAGGUGUACCGUAAGGAGCGCUGGACUGCAUUCAAGUGAGAAUGCCGGUAUGAGUAACGAAAAGAUCUGUGAGAAUCAGAUCCGCCGAAAGCCUAAGGGUUCCUGAGGAAGGUUCGUCCGCUCAGGGUAAGUCGGGACCUAAGGCGAGGCCGAUAGGCGUAGUCGAAGGACAACAGGUCGAAAUUCCUGUACCACCGUAAUCCGUUAUGAGCGAUGGGGUGACGCAGUAGGGUAGUGACGCGGACUGAUGGAUGUCCGUCUAAGCAGUGAGGCUGGUGUGUAGGCAAAUCCGCACAUCGUAAGGCUGGGCUGUGAUGGGGAGCGAAAAUUAUAGUAGCGAAGGUCAUGAUCUCAGACUGCCAAGAAAAG